GAUGAACGCUGGCGGCGUGCCUAAUACAUGCAAGUCGAACGCGCAGCGAGAGGUGCUUGCACCUUUCAAGCGAGUGGCGAACGGGUGAGUAACACGUGGAUAACCUGCCUCAAGGCUGGGGAUAACAUUUGGAAACAGAUGCUAAUACCGAAUAAAACUUAGUAUCGCAUGAUAUAAAGUUAAAAGGCGCUACGGCGUCACCUAAAGAUGGAUCCGCGGUGCAUUAGUUAGUUGGGGGGGUAAAGGCUUACCAAGACAAUGAUGCAUAGCCAAGUUGAGAGACUGAUCGGCCACAUUGGGACUGAAACACGGCCCAAACUCCUACGGGAGGCUGCAGUAGGGAAUCUUCCACAAUGGGCGCAAGCCUGAUGGAGCACCGCCGCGUGUGUGAUGAAGGCUUUCGGGUCGUAAAGCACUGUUGUAUGGAAAGAAAUGCUAAAAUAGGGAAUGAUUUUAGUUUGACGGUACCAUACCAAAAAGGGACGGCUAAAUACGUG
rnacentral:rRNA from 1 species